UUAAGUGGGCCUAAAAGCAGCCAUCUUUUUAAAAGCGUCAAAGCUUUCAUGCCACGUUACAUAAUACCCCAACUAACUUAGAGCCCUUUACUACCACUGGAUAAUUCUAUACUACUAUAGAAUUUAUUAUGUUAAAACUAGUAACAAGAAGUCCGCCCUUCUCUUAAAUGCAAGCAUACGUCAGAAAGGCCUAACCACUGAUUAUUAACAUACUUGUAGACUAAGUAGUAACGCUACAAGAGAACCCUACUUACUCCUAUGUUACCCUAACACAAGCGCAUUUCAAGAAAGAUUAAAAGAAAAAGAAGGAACUCGGCAAAUAUCAGCCUCGCCUGUUUACCAAAAACAUCGCCUCUUGAAAACGUAUAAGAGGUCCAGCCUGCCCAGUGACUCAAUUCAACGGCCGCGGUAUCCUAACCGUGCGAAGGUAGCGUAAUCACUUGUUCUUUAAAUAGGGACUAGUAUGAACGGCAUCACGAAGGCUGCACUGUCUCCUUUUUCUAAUCAGUGAAACUAAUCUUCCCGUGAAGAAGCGGGAAUAAACAUAUAAGACGAGAAGACCCUAUGGAGCUUUAAACAAACUAACACUUGCUACUAAUAAUAAAUAUUUCAGAAAAUUAACAUUAAGUAAACCACUAUGAUUACGAGUUUUCGGUUGGGGUGACCACGGAGUAUAAACCAACCUCCGAGUGGAAUGGGGUUUAACCCUGAGCUAAAAGCCUCGACUUUAAGCACCAACAAAUUGACCUCCAUUGACCCAAUAUUUUGACCAACGAACCAAGUUACCCUAGGGAUAACAGCGCAAUCUACUUCAAGAGCCCCUAUCGACAAGUGGGUUUACGACCUCGAUGUUGGAUCAGGGUAUCCCAGUGGUGCAGCCGCUACUAAUGGUUCGUUUGUUCAACGAUUAAAACCCUACGUGAUCUGAGUUCAGACCGGAGCAAUCCAGGUCAGUUUCUAUCUAUAAAGGGCUUUUUCUAGUACGAAAGGACCAAAAAAGCAUGGCCAAUGCUAAAGUAAGCCAUCAAAUGCUACUUAUGAUUCCCACUCAAUAAGUAAAUAACCUAGUAUGCA
rnacentral:rRNA from 1 species